AAAAUAAUCAGAAAACUUUAUGAAUUGCAUUGUUUCACAGAUGCAGUCGCAAUAAAAUUAUGGUGAAUAUGAAACUCUUUAUUCAUAUUUUAUGAAUUGCAUUGUUUCACACAACACUCAUCCUCACCAACUUUAUGAUUUCAUGCGUGUAUAAAUAUAAACCACUUCAUGCAUGUAAAAAGAUAAACCAAACUUCAAUGCUUCCUGCUUUAACAGGGGAGAUUCUGAAAAGAGGCAAAAGAACUUAAAGAAUAAAGCUUGAGCAGCAAUGGAUUAUAAAUCAAAUUAACCAGAAAAGCAAACAUAUUGUCUGUGCACAACAAGAACUCUUUGUCAACAAUGGUUGUUAAAAGAGUAGACAGACACAAUGCAAAUUAUGAGUGCUAAGCUUAUGGUACCAAACAGUAUACAUUCAACCACACAACACUAAACACUGCACAUCAGGAUACACGUUUUAUUUACUUCCACAACAUCUCUAACCCGCAAUUAAUAGAAACCAAACAAGAAAGGGAAGUUUGAAUAUUCCCAAAAGAUAGUGUGCGAAUAACUCAACAACACACCAACUCCAUGAGAUAUGGCUAUUACCAAAUAACUCAGUGCCAACUUAAACACCUUCUUCCUGAUCAUGCGUUCACUUAAAAAUUAGUGUAAUCAGUUAAAUUCAGCAAGAUUUUAACGGAAGUUUAUACUGAAUCAAUUUAUUGUAGUUAAAUGAAGAAAACAAAUCAAACCAAACUCUCUGUAAGCCACAACAAAUUAAAUACAGUUCUGUUUCAUUAUUCAGUUGUUAGACUUAAAAAUAGUUAAGAGUUCUAUAAUAUAAUUCACCUAGUUACACAAAGAACAAAUACCAGUUUUAUUUCAUAAAUAAAAAUAAAAAUUUUAGAUUAACAAAAGUCAAGAUUAACAAAGCACAAUGAUUUUAUUGAGGUUCUUCAGCACAAAGCAAAACAAUUCAGCAAGACUCCAACAAUCCUUAACACCCAAUCCAUUAAAGACGAAAAAGAAAACUCAAAACAGUAUCUAUAAAAGAACUAACAUAGUGCAAAUUCCUUUGCAGGUUCUAAAAAUUCAAGUUAGAAAAAGCAAUAAUUUAGCUCAAAUCUGGAAAGAAAAUUAAAAAAAAAAAAAAAACUAGUGAAAUGAGAUUAAUAUCCUUUCAGGAAAAGAAGAAGAAGAAAAAUAAUAAUAACCGCUUAUUUUGGUCAUCACGGCAAGGUAUUUGGAGCGAAGAACCCUCCUAUCUGCCGCANNN
rnacentral:lncRNA from 1 species